rnacentral:lncRNA from 1 species
UGAUUAUUUUUUGGAACUAUUUUCCCUUCUUAUUUGGUUUCUCAUCAGCAUAUUCUGUGAGGACAUUUCUUGCAAUGGAUAAUUAUGUGGCAAAAAGCUCUCUUUUCCUAUUAUUGAUAAGGGUUGCUUGUACAUUUGGAUAGUACAAAUACACAUAAAUUUAGAGGUGUGAAAAAUUAGUCAACAUUAUUAAAAUAAUCAGUUGAAAAAUUUGAAAACAUACAUGAUUAGGAAGCUUGUCUGUACUAAGCCAUGAUCUCUCAAACUAUGCUUCUGUUGCACAUAGAUGUUCUAUUAAAUUCA